rnacentral:rRNA from 1 species
UACGUAGGGGCCUAGCGUUGUCCGGAUUUAUUGGGCGUAAAGAGCUCGUAGGCGGUUCGGCAAGUCAGCUGUGAAAUCUCCACGCUUAACGUGGAGGGGUCAGCUGAUACUGCCGUGACUCGAGUCCGGUAGGGGAGUGUGGAAUUCCCGGUGUAGCGGUGAAAUGCGCAGAUAUCGGGAGGAACACCAGUGGCGAAAGCGGCUCCCUGGUCCAGCACCGACGUCAGGCACGAAAGCGUGGGGAGCAAACAGG